rnacentral:rRNA from 1 species
GUAUGAAGUGAAACGUAUAUGUAUUGUCUCUCAUCUUAUUAUUUAUAACUUAUUUUAAAGGGUGAAAAUACCCUUAGUUUAAUCAAAAGACGAGAAGACCCUUAGAAUUUCUAUUAUUAUUUGAAAUUAUCAAGAUUCAUUUUUGUUGGGGCAACAUUAUUUCAUGUUAAAUAAAUGAUUAGUUAUUACUGUUACAUUCCGAUUUAUAUUUAAGAAUAAAUUACCUAAGGGAUAACAGCAUAAUUUAUUAUAUAAGUUUGUGACUCCGAUGUUGGA